rnacentral:rRNA from 1 species
GACGAACGCUGGCGGCGUGCUUAACACAUGCAAGUCGAACGGAAAGGCCCUGCUUUUGUGGGGUGCUCGAGUGGCGAACGGGUGAGUAACACGUGAGUAACCUGCCCUUGACUUUGGGAUAACUUCAGGAAACUGGGGCUAAUACCGGAUAGGAGCUCCUGCUGCAUGGUGGGGGUUGGAAAGUUUCGGCGGUUGGGGAUGGACUCGCGGCUUAUCAGCUUGUUGGUGGGGUAGUGGCUUACCAAGGCUUUGACGGGUAGCCGGCCUGAGAGGGUGACCGGCCACAUUGGGACUGAGAUACGGCCCAGACUCCUACGGGAGGCAGCGGUGGGGAAUAUUGCACAAUGGGCGGAAGCCUGAUGCAGCAACGCCGCGUGCGGGAUGACGGCCUUCGGGUUGUAAACCGCUUUCGCCUGUGACGAAGCGUGAGUGACGGUAAUGGGUAAAGAAACACCGGCUAACUACGU